AUGGAGGUCGAGAUCCCGACCGAGCACCGCGCGCCCAAGGUUGAGGCUAGAGCGUGGCGAUGGCACGAUCUCCCGGCCGCCGCCGCCAAGCCGCUCCGGGACCCCCUCCUCGCCGUCAACUUCCUGCUGCUGGCCGUCGGCGCGGCCAGCGGCCCGCUCCUCCUCCGCCUCUACUUCCUGCGCGGCGGCUCCCGCAAGUGGCUAUCCAGCCUGCUCCAGACCGCCGGCUGGCCGCUCCUCCUCGUGCCGCUCGGCUUCUCCUUCUCCUCCCGCCGCCGCCGCAGGAGCCGCCGCCAGGGCGACGACGCCACGGCUAGCACCGGCGUCUUCCUCAUGACGCCCCGCCUCCUGGCCGCGUCCGCCGUCGUGGGCCUCAUGACCGGCGCCGACAACUUCCUCUACGCCUACGGCCAGGCCUACCUCCCGGUGUCCACCUCCUCCAUCCUCAUCUCCACGCAGCUGGCCUUCACGGCCGCCUUCGCGCUGCUGCUCGUGCGCCAGCGCUUCACGGGCUCCACGGUCAACGCCAUCGUGCUGCUCAGCGUCGGCGCCGCCAUGCUGGGGAUGGGCUCCGGCGGGGACCGCCCGGCGGGGGUGUCGGGCGCGCAGUACGCCGCCGGGUUCGGCAUGGCGCUGGCGGCCGCGGCGCUCUACGGCCUCGUGCUGCCCGUCAUGGAGCUCAGCCAGGCGUGGCACGCGGCGCGCGCCGGCGCCGCCGCCCUCACCUACACGCUCGUCGUUGAGAUUCAGGUCGUCAUCGGGCUCACCGCCACGGCGUUCUGCGCCGUCGGCAUGCUGGCGAACAACGACUUUCAGGCAAUCCCAGGAGAAGCCCGACAGUCCGAACUCGGCCAGGCGGGCUACUACAUGCUGCUGGUCGGCACAGCCGCCGUGUACCAGUGCUUCUGCCUCGGCAUAAUCGGCGCCAUCUACUACGGCUCGGCGCUGCUCGCCGGAGUCAUCAUCACCGUGCUCCUCCCGGUGACCGAGGUCCUGGCCGUCGUCUUCUUCCAUGAACCCUUCAGCGGCACCAAGGGCGUCGCCCUCGGGCUGUCGCUCUGGGGCCUCGCUUCCUAUUUCUACGGCGAGGUGCGGAACAAGGCCCCGGAUGCAGAGCGCCAGACAAGUCUGUGUGCGGAUCGUGACUGCGAGAAUUAG
rnacentral:rRNA from 1 species